GACGCAGCCCCACCGGUUGCGCAGUCCCUCCCCGCCCCCGCUCUCCCCUCCGCAGCCUGCAGCCCGAGACUUCUGUAAAGGACUGGGGCCCCGCAACUGGCCUCUCCUGCCCUCUUAAGCGCAGCGCCAUUUUAGCAACGCAGAAGCCCGGCGCCGGGAAGCCUCAGCUCGCCUGAAGGUGGUAAACUAUACCUACUGUCCCUCAAGAGAACACAAGAAGUGCUUUAAGAGGCGGCGGAAGGUGAUCGAAUUCCGGUGAUGCGAGUUGUUCUCCGUCUAUAAAUACGCCUCGCCCGAGCUGUGCGGUAGGCAUUGAGGCAGCCAGCGCAGGGGCUUCUGCUGAGGGGGCAGGCGGAGCUUGAGGAAACCGCAGAUAAGUUUUUUUCUCUUUGAAAGAUAGAGAUUAAUACAACUACUUAAAAAAUAUAGUCAAUAGGUUACUAAGAUAUUGCUUAGCGUUAAGUUUUUAACGUAAUUUUAAUAGCUUAAGAUUUUAAGAGAAAAUAUGAAGACUUAGAAGAGUAGCAUGAGGAAGGAAAAGAUAAAAGGUUUCUAAAACAUGACGGAGGUUGAGAUGAAGCUUCUUCAUGGAGUAAAAAAUGUAUUUAAAAGAAAAUUGAGAGAAAGGACUACAGAGCCCCGAAUUAAUACCAAUAGAAGGGCAAUGCUUUUAGAUUAAAAUGAAGGUGACUUAAACAGCUUAAAGUUUAGUUUAAAAGUUGUAGGUGAUUAAAAUAAUUUGAAGGCGAUCUUUUAAAAAGAGAUUAAACCGAAGGUGAUUAAAAGACCUUGAAAUCCAUGACGCAGGGAGAAUUGCGUCAUUUAAAGCCUAGUUAACGCAUUUACUAAACGCAGACGAAAAUGGAAAGAUUAAUUGGGAGUGGUAGGAUGAAACAAUUUGGAGAAGAUAGAAGUUUGAAGUGGAAAACUGGAAGACAGAAGUACGGGAAGGCGAAGAAAAGAAUAGAGAAGAUAGGGAAAUUAGAAGAUAAAAACAUACUUUUAGAAGAAAAAAGAUAAAUUUAAACCUGAAAAGUAGGAAGCAGAAGAAAAAAGACAAGCUAGGAAACAAAAAGCUAAGGGCAAAAUGUACAAACUUAGAAGAAAAUUGGAAGAUAGAAACAAGAUAGAAAAUGAAAAUAUUGUCAAGAGUUUCAGAUAGAAAAUGAAAAACAAGCUAAGACAAGUAUUGGAGAAGUAUAGAAGAUAGAAAAAUAUAAAGCCAAAAAUUGGAUAAAAUAGCACUGAAAAAAUGAGGAAAUUAUUGGUAACCAAUUUAUUUUAAAAGCCCAUCAAUUUAAUUUCUGGUGGUGCAGAAGUUAGAAGGUAAAGCUUGAGAAGAUGAGGGUGUUUACGUAGACCAGAACCAAUUUAGAAGAAUACUUGAAGCUAGAAGGGGAAGUUGGUUAAAAAUCACAUCAAAAAGCUACUAAAAGGACUGGUGUAAUUUAAAAAAAACUAAGGCAGAAGGCUUUUGGAAGAGUUAGAAGAAUUUGGAAGGCCUUAAAUAUAGUAGCUUAGUUUGAAAAAUGUGAAGGACUUUCGUAACGGAAGUAAUUCAAGAUCAAGAGUAAUUACCAACUUAAUGUUUUUGCAUUGGACUUUGAGUUAAGAUUAUUUUUUAAAUCCUGAGGACUAGCAUUAAUUGACAGCUGACCCAGGUGCUACACAGAAGUGGAUUCAGUGAAUCUAGGAAGACAGCAGCAGACAGGAUUCCAGGAACCAGUGUUUGAUGAAGCUAGGACUGAGGAGCAAGCGAGCAAGCAGCAGUUCGUGGUGAAGAUAGGAAAAGAGUCCAGGAGCCAGUGCGAUUUGGUGAAGGAAGCUAGGAAGAAGGAAGGAGCGCUAACGAUUUGGUGGUGAAGCUAGGAAAAAGGAUUCCAGGAAGGAGCGAGUGCAAUUUGGUGAUGAAGGUAGCAGGCGGCUUGGCUUGGCAACCACACGGAGGAGGCGAGCAGGCGUUGUGCGUAGAGGAUCCUAGACCAGCAUGCCAGUGUGCCAAGGCCACAGGGAAAGCGAGUGGUUGGUAAAAAUCCGUGAGGUCGGCAAUAUGUUGUUUUUCUGGAACUUACUUAUGGUAACCUUUUAUUUAUUUUCUAAUAUAAUGGGGGAGUUUCGUACUGAGGUGUAAAGGGAUUUAUAUGGGGACGUAGGCCGAUUUCCGGGUGUUGUAGGUUUCUCUUUUUCAGGCUUAUACUCAUGAAUCUUGUCUGAAGCUUUUGAGGGCAGACUGCCAAGUCCUGGAGAAAUAGUAGAUGGCAAGUUUGUGGGUUUUUUUUUUUUACACGAAUUUGAGGAAAACCAAAUGAAUUUGAUAGCCAAAUUGAGACAAUUUCAGCAAAUCUGUAAGCAGUUUGUAUGUUUAGUUGGGGUAAUGAAGUAUUUCAGUUUUGUGAAUAGAUGACCUGUUUUUACUUCCUCACCCUGAAUUCGUUUUGUAAAUGUAGAGUUUGGAUGUGUAACUGAGGCGGGGGGGAGUUUUCAGUAUUUUUUUUUGUGGGGGUGGGGGCAAAAUAUGUUUUCAGUUCUUUUUCCCUUAGGUCUGUCUAGAAUCCUAAAGGCAAAUGACUCAAGGUGUAACAGAAAACAAGAAAAUCCAAUAUCAGGAUAAUCAGACCACCACAGGUUUACAGUUUAUAGAAACUAGAGCAGUUCUCACGUUGAGGUCUGUGGAAGAGAUGUCCAUUGGAGAAAUGGCUGGUAGUUACUCUUUUUUCCCCCCACCCCCUUAAUCAGACUUUAAAAGUGCUUAACCCCUUAAACUUGUUAUUUUUUACUUGAAGCAUUUUGGGAUGGUCUUAACAGGGAAGAGAGAGGGUGGGGGAGAAAAUGUUUUUUUCUAAGAUUUUCCACAGAUGCUAUAGUACUAUUGACAAACUGGGUUAGAGAAGGAGUGUACCGCUGUGCUGUUGGCACGAACACCUUCAGGGACUGGAGCUGCUUUUAUCCUUGGAAGAGUAUUCCCAGUUGAAGCUGAAAAGUACAGCACAGUGCAGCUUUGGUUCAUAUUCAGUCAUCUCAGGAGAACUUCAGAAGAGCUUGAGUAGGCCAAAUGUUGAAGUUAAGUUUUCCAAUAAUGUGACUUCUUAAAAGUUUUAUUAAAGGGGAGGGGCAAAUAUUGGCAAUUAGUUGGCAGUGGCCUGUUACGGUUGGGAUUGGUGGGGUGGGUUUAGGUAAUUGUUUAGUUUAUGAUUGCAGAUAAACUCAUGCCAGAGAACUUAAAGUCUUAGAAUGGAAAAAGUAAAGAAAUAUCAACUUCCAAGUUGGCAAGUAACUCCCAAUGAUUUAGUUUUUUUCCCCCCAGUUUGAAUUGGGAAGCUGGGGGAAGUUAAAUAUGAGCCACUGGGUGUACCAGUGCAUUAAUUUGGGCAAGGAAAGUGUCAUAAUUUGAUACUGUAUCUGUUUUCCUUCAAAGUAUAGAGCUUUUGGGGAAGGAAAGUAUUGAACUGGGGGUUGGUCUGGCCUACUGGGCUGACAUUAACUACAAUUAUGGGAAAUGCAAAAGUUGUUUGGAUAUGGUAGUGUGUGGUUCUCUUUUGGAAUUUUUUUCAGGUGAUUUAAUAAUAAUUUAAAACUACUAUAGAAACUGCAGAGCAAAGGAAGUGGCUUAAUGAUCCUGAAGGGAUUUCUUCUGAUGGUAGCUUUUGUAUUAUCAAGUAAGAUUCUAUUUUCAGUUGUGUGUAAGCAAGUUUUUUUUUAGUGUAGGAGAAAUACUUUUCCAUUGUUUAACUGCAAAACAAGAUGUUAAGGUAUGCUUCAAAAAUUUUGUAAAUUGUUUAUUUUAAACUUAUCUGUUUGUAAAUUGUAACUGAUUAAGAAUUGUGAUAGUUCAGCUUGAAUGUCUCUUAGAGGGUGGGCUUUUGUUGAUGAGGGAGGGGAAACUUUUUUUUUUUCUAUAGACUUUUUUCAGAUAACAUCUUCUGAGUCAUAACCAGCCUGGCAGUAUGAUGGCCUAGAUGCAGAGAAAACAGCUCCUUGGUGAAUUGAUAAGUAAAGGCAGAAAAGAUUAUAUGUCAUACCUCCAUUGGGGAAUAAGCAUAACCCUGAGAUUCUUACUACUGAUGAGAACAUUAUCUGCAUAUGCCAAAAAAUUUUAAGCAAAUGAAAGCUACCAAUUUAAAGUUACGGAAUCUACCAUUUUAAAGUUAAUUGCUUGUCAAGCUAUAACCACAAAAAUAAUGAAUUGAUGAGAAAUACAAUGAAGAGGCAAUGUCCAUCUCAAAAUACUGCUUUUACAAAAGCAGAAUAAAAGCGAAAAGAAAUGAAAAUGUUACACUACAUUAAUCCUGGAAUAAAAGAAGCCGAAAUAAAUGAGAGAUGAGUUGGGAUCAAGUGGAUUGAGGAGGCUGUGCUGUGUGCCAAUGUUUCGUUUGCCUCAGACAGGUAUCUCUUCGUUAUCAGAAGAGUUGCUUCAUUUCAUCUGGGAGCAGAAAACAGCAGGCAGCUGUUAACAGAUAAGUUUAACUUGCAUCUGCAGUAUUGCAUGUUAGGGAUAAGUGCUUAUUUUUAAGAGCUGUGGAGUUCUUAAAUAUCAACCAUGGCACUUUCUCCUGACCCCUUCCCUAGGGGAUUUCAGGAUUGAGAAAUUUUUCCAUCGAGCCUUUUUAAAAUUGUAGGACUUGUUCCUGUGGGCUUCAGUGAUGGGAUAGUACACUUCACUCAGAGGCAUUUGCAUCUUUAAAUAAUUUCUUAAAAGCCUCUAAAGUGAUCAGUGCCUUGAUGCCAACUAAGGAAAUUUGUUUAGCAUUGAAUCUCUGAAGGCUCUAUGAAAGGAAUAGCAUGAUGUGCUGUUAGAAUCAGAUGUUACUGCUAAAAUUUACAUGUUGUGAUGUAAAUUGUGUAGAAAACCAUUAAAUCAUUCAAAAUAAUAAACUAUUUUUAUUAGAGAAUGUAUACUUUUAGAAAGCUGUCUCCUUAUUUAAAUAAAAUAGUGUUUGUCUGUAGUUCAGUGUUGGGGCAAUCUUGGGGGGGAUUCUUCUCUAAUCUUUCAGAAACUUUGUCUGCGAACACUCUUUAAUGGACCAGAUCAGGAUUUGAGCGGAAGAACGAAUGUAACUUUAAGGCAGGAAAGACAAAUUUUAUUCUUCAUAAAGUGAUGAGCAUAUAAUAAUUCCAGGCACAUGGCAAUAGAGGCCCUCUAAAUAAGGAAUAAAUAACCUCUUAGACAGGUGGGAGGUAACAGCACAAUAUCUUUGAACUAUAUACAUCCUUGAUGUAUAAUUUGUCAGGAGCUUGACUUGAUUGUAUAUUCAUAUUUACACGAGAACCUAAUAUAACUGCCUUGUCUUUUUCAGGUAAUAGCCUGCAGCUGGUGUUUUGAGAAGCCCUACUGCUGAAAAC
rnacentral:lncRNA from 1 species